UAUUGCUGUAACUUUGGGGGCACGAGUGCGGACAUGAGGGUCUGCGUCUGGCGCCGGAUCGAGCAAGCCUGUCUGCGAUGCGCUAGAGUCUGCCGAGGGCCUCGAUGUAAGUCGGAGCUCGCGGCGGGUGUGGCCCGGUGUAACGCUCCAGGCUGGCAACAGAGCAGAGAAUAGCCGGCGCUCUAGCGUCUGGCAGACGGCAGGUUUGCAAGGUCCGUAACAAUAGGCAC
rnacentral:SRP_RNA from 1 species